UACGAAGGGGGCUAGCGUUGUUCGGAAUUACUGGGCGUAAAGCGCGCGCAGGUGGCCAUCCAAGUCAGGGGUGAAAGCCCGGAGCUCAACUCCGGAAUUGCCUUUGAAACUGUUUGGCUUGAGUACGGGAGAGGUGAGUGGAAUUCCCAGUGUAGAGGUGAAAAUUCGUAGAUAUUGGGAAGAACACCGGUGGCGAAGGCGGCUCACUGGCCCGUUACUGACACUCAUGCGCGACAGCGUGGGGAUCAAACAGG
rnacentral:rRNA from 1 species